rnacentral:SRP_RNA from 1 species
AGCCGGGUCCUGUGCAACGUCGGCUCGUGAACCCCGUCAGGUCCGGAAGGAAGCAGCGGUAGCGAUUCCCGACGUGUGCCGCAGGGGUGCCUGGCUAUC